rnacentral:rRNA from 1 species
GACGAACGCUGGCGGCGUGCUUAACACAUGCAGGUCGAACGGUAAGGCCUUUCGGGGUACCCGAGUGGCGAACGGGUGAGUAACACGUGGGUGAUCUGCCCUGCACUUCGGGAUAAGCCCGGGAAACUGGGUCUAAUACCGGAUAGGACUGCGCGGUGCAUGCCGUGUGGUGGAAAGAUUUAUCGGUGCAGGAUGGGCCCGCGGCCUAUCAGCUUGUUGGUGGGGUAAUGGCCUACCAAGGCGACGACGGGUAGCCGGCCUGAGAGGGCGACCGGCCACACUGGGACUGAGACACGGCCCAGACUCCUACGGGAGGCAGCAGUGGGGAAUAUUGCACAAUGGGCGCAAGCCUGAUGCAGCGACGCCGCGUGAGGGAUGACGGCCUUCGGGUUGUAAACCUCUUUCAGCAGGGACGAAGCGUGAGUGACGGUACCUGCAGAAGAAGCACCGGCCAACUACGUG